rnacentral:sRNA from 1 species
GAAGGCGUUCUGGCUAUGACAUCUGUUACCCAAUGAUGGCCAGAGUUGACUUGGCUGAUCUGGGUGGCAAGGCAGGGAUCUCCCACCUCUCCAUGUGAGUCCCUCCUGACGCUACACGCUCAAAGAGGACAGCCUUCCAGGAGGACUGGUCAAUGGUGGAAUCUAUCACAUGUGUGUGGAGAACAGAGGGUAGGAAAGAUUGAGAAGGGACUAGUAAGUAAGACAAUAAUACUUGGAAAUGACCAUGCUGG